rnacentral:lncRNA from 1 species
GUUAUCUUUUGUAUUUAAUUCUCUUGAUGUCUAUUUGGGAAAUGGUGGUAUUGGUGAGAAAAGAUAGGGAAACAAACUGGAAAAGGAUUAAAAACAAAAUAAAUGUAAAAUUUUGGGAGGCAAAUCUAGGUGAGUAGAGAUAGUAUUUUUUGUGAGGGUGAAAGUGAUGUUGUUUGGAAGUAGGAAUGGGAUUAACAAUAG